UAUGCUUGUGUUUUGUAGGUCAAAAAAUAAUAAAUAAAGAUGAUAUUGAUUGUGAUGACCAAUAGACUCAUUUUAAGACACAUCAAUCUUCAUCAUCUUUAAAUAAAAAGGAUAAACAUGAUGGAUUUCCAUUAUCUCAAGCAAAAACAAAGAGUUCAAAAUAUUGGUGGUAAGAACUGUCAAAAACUUGUGAUAGCUAUGAUGAAGACUUUUAUGACAAAUUCACUCAUGGCCAAAUCUAAUAUGGCAGCUGGAAAAGGCAAAGAAUCUUUUUAGUCUAACCAAGCUAUACAACUUAAUAAAAGGACCAGUCAAGAAUUUAGAAUCCAAAGAUGAACCUCAAGAUAUCAUCAAAAUCAAAAAAUAUUUUUUUUUUACUUUGUUCUUAUGAAUAAUAGACAUCGAUUCGUGUCUCAGGAAAAUUUAUUUUUUAACUUUUUUUUGUUAUGAAAAC